rnacentral:rRNA from 1 species
GGGUUAGUAGGUUGGUCAUGCCUCUGGUAUGUACUGGUCUCACUGAUUCCUCCUUCCUGAUGAACCGUAAUGCCAUUAAUUUGGUGUUGCGGGGAAUUUGGACUGUUACUUUGAAAAAAUUAGAGUGUUUAAAGCAGGCUAACGCUUGAAUACAUUAGCAUGGAAUAAUGAAAUAGGACGUUCGAUCCUAUUUUGUUGGUUUCUAGGAUUGACGUA